rnacentral:rRNA from 1 species
UAUGGCUCAGAUUGAACGCUGGCGGCAGGCCUAACACAUGCAAGUCGAGUGGAAACGAGUUAUCUGAACCUUAGGGGGACGAUAACGGCGUCGAGCGGCGGACGGGUGAGUAAUGCCUAGGAAAUUGCCCUGAUGUGGGGGAUAACCAUUGGAAACGAUGGCUAAUACCGCAUAAUACCUUCGGGUCAAAGAGGGGGACCUUCGGGCCUCUCGCGUCAGGAUAUGCCUAGGUGGGAUUAGCUAGUUGGUGAGGUAAUGGCUCACCAAGGCGACGAUCCCUAGCUGGUCUGAGAGGAUGAUCAGCCACACUGGAACUGAGACACGGUCCAGACUCCUACGGGAGGCAGCAGUGGGGAAUAUUGCACAAUGGGCGCAAGCCUGAUGCAGCCAUGCCGCGUGUGUGAAGAAGGCCUUCGGGUUGUAAAGCACUUUCAGUCGUGAGGAAGGUAGUGUAGUUAAUAGCUGCAUUAUUUGACGUUAGCGACAGAAGAAGCACCGGCUAACUCCGUGC